rnacentral:rRNA from 1 species
UUUUGAAGAUCAGCGGCGGACGGGUGAGUAACACGUGGGCAACCUGCCUGUAAGACUGGGAUAACUUCGGGAAACCGGAGCUAAUACCGGAUAAUCCUUUCCCUCACAUGAGGGAAAGCUGAAAGACGGUUUCGGCUGUCACUUACAGAUGGGCCCGCGGCGCAUUAGCUAGUUGGUGAGGUAACGGCUCACCAAGGCAACGAUGCGUAGCCGACCUGAGAGGGUGAUCGGCCACACUGGGACUGAGACACGGCCCAGACUCCUACGGGAGGCAGCAGUAGGGAAUCUUCCGCAAUGGACGAAAGUCUGACGGAGCAACGCCGCGUGAACGAUGAAGGCUUUCGGGUCGUAAAGUUCUGUUGUCAGGGAAGAACAAGUACCGGAGUAACUGCCGGUACCUUGACGGUACCUGACCAGAAAGCCACGGCUAACUACGUGCCAGCAGCCGCGGUAAUACGUAGGUGGCAAGCGUUGUCCGGAAUUAUUGGGCGUAAAGCGCGCGCAGGCGGUUCCUUAAGUCUGAUGUGAAAGCCCCCGGCUCAACCGGGGAGGGUCAUUGGAAACUGGGGAA